CAUUCAUUAUAAGUAUAAUAAAUGUAAGUUUCCAUACACAUUCUCUCUUCUCUGUUAAAGCACCUCUCACCGUCUCAUAGCUCAAAUGUGAUAUCAGUAAACCUAUCACUUAGAUAAUUAUGUUGUCUUAUUCUCGAGCAAGCUUAUGUUGAUUACAUAUCUAUAUUGUGUUGGCCAUGUAUGAUGGUAAUUUUCUCCUUUUGUUCAUAGGUUCAAAACUAAAUUAGACAUAAACUGAAAUUAUUAUACUUGUCCUGGGCUCCUAUACCAUUUGACCAAUUGUCCGCCCACUUCCUUGUUCUCAUAUUUUGGUAUUUCAUGUGUAUCCCGGUUGGCGGUUAUUUUCUCCUGUAUGCGCCGGUCAUAUCUGUAAGCAUCGAUGGAUGCCAUUUUCAUGGGCAGACCAUGUAACUGUCA